UGCUAGAGUCAUGUGGACCCCAGUGUAACAAAUCUAUGGAAAGAGAGAAAAUCUCAGCUCAAGGGUCAACAUGUCUUUAUUCCAAGAAAGAGUGUACAUAUGCCAGAAUCAUAUGGACCCCAGACUGGCCCUGGUGAUUCCGUUAAGAAAAAAGAGGAAAAAUCAGUGCUUGUGCUCAUUGGUCAUUGGACAAAGGGUGUAUGCCAGAAUUUUUUCAAGAACAGUCUGAAUCUGACAUGGAAAAAAUGAAGAAAAACAGCCUUCCUGUUUAUAAAUCUACAU